rnacentral:rRNA from 1 species
CAUGUAGAGAUUAUUAUACGCCAAGUAACAUAAAAAGUGCGGGUUUCCGAAGAUGGAAUUUCUAAUGUUUUUUCGCCUGGGUUAAUCGAACUAUUGCAAGCGAAACGAGCAGGGCGAGCUUUGGAUGAAUCGAUCUAUUAUCGGGCAAUCUUAUCGGGAAUAACAAGGGCUUCCCUGAAUACCCAAAGUUUCAUAUCUGAAGCAAGUUUUCAAGAAACUACUGAUUUAGCAAAAGUUGCCCUACGAGGUCACAUUGAUUGGUUGAAAGGCUUGAAAGAUAACAUAGUUCUGCAACAGAUUAUACAUGUUGGCACCGGAUUCCAAAAAUUUAUGCAUCGAUCCCCACAAGACAAGAACCUUUAUUUUGAAAUAAAAAAAUCUAUUUGCGUCAGAAAUGAGAGAUUUUUUAGGGGGAUUUUCAGCAAUCAAGACCAUCAAGUUGACCAAGAAGUGCUGGCGAAGAGGUUCAAAACACGACCACGCCCCGUUGCAAGGCUUGCUGGGCCUGAAUGGGCCCAAGUUACCAUGUCAACUACUUAA